GUGCCAGCCGCCGCGCGGUAAUACGGAGGGUGCAAGCGUUACUCGGAAUCACUGGGCGUAAAGCGCGCGCAGGCGGCUAGAUAAGUUGGAAGUGAAAUCCUAUGGCUCAACCAUAGAACUGCUUCCAAAACUGUUUAGCUAGAGUCUGGGAGGGGAAGAUGGAAUUAGUAGUGUAGGGGUAAAAUCCGUAGAGAUUACUAGGAAUACCAAAAGCGAAGGCGAUCUUCUGGAACAGUACUGACGCUGAGGCGCGAAAGCGUGGGGAGCAAACAGGAUUAGAUACCCUGGUAGUCCACGCCCUAAACGAUGAAUGUUAGUCGUCGGGACUCUAGUAGUUUCGGUGAUGCAGUUAACACAUUAAACAUUCCGCCUGGGGAGUACGGUCGCAAGAUUAAAACUCAAAGGAAUAGACGGGGACCCGCACAAGUGGUGGAGCAUGUGGUUUAAUUCGAAGAUACGCGAAGAACCUUACCUAGCCUUGACAUAUUUUAGAACUCCGCAGAGAUGUAGAGGUGCCUUCGGGAGCUAAUAUACAGGUGCUGCACGGCUGUCGUCAGCUCGUGUCGUGAGAUGUUGGGUUAAGUCCCGCAACGAGCGCAACCCUCGUUCUUAGUUACUAACGGUUCGGCCGAGGACUCUAAGAAGACUGCCUUCGUAAGGAGGAGGAAGGUGAGGACGACGUCAAGUCAUCAUGGCCCUUACGGCUAGGGCAACACACGUGCUACAAUGGUUAGGACAAUGAGACGCAAUACCGCGAGGUGGAGCAAAUCUAUAAACCUAAUCUCAGUUCGGAUUGUAGUCUGCAACUCGACUACAUGAAGCUGGAAUCACUAGUAAUCGUAGAUCAGCUAUGCUACGG
rnacentral:rRNA from 1 species